CUGAAAGACUUAAAUAGAGACAAAAAAAAAAAAAAGGAUUUCCUGUUGUGGCGCAGUGGUUAACACAUCCGACUAGGAACCAUGAGGUUUCGGGUUCGAUCCUUGGCCUUGCUCAGUGGGUUAACGAUCCGGUGUUGCCAUGAGCUGUGGUGAAGGUUGUAGACAUGGCUUGGAUCCUGCAUUGCUGUGGCUCUGGUGUAGGCUGAAUCUUACUGUCGUGGAUUUUACCUGAAGUCCUCUAUUCCCCCAAAAUGUAUUUUUUCUUCAUUUUCCUCCGGGCGGGGAGAGUCUCCAUAACAGCUCUGCACGAGGGGAGGACCCCAAGACAGCAGCCCAAGGAGGACAGGCAUUCUCGUGAGACAGCCGGAAUCCAGGUCUUCAGCUCCUCUGUGGUGCCGCAGGGGCUCCUGGGAGUCCGCCAUCUUGUGGACAGUGAACGGCCAGCCGUCUGCUCUCUACUGGAUCUGAAGACAUCCCUGGGAGCAGAGCGGAUGUUGGUAGCAGAUUCCAGUAUGGGAAGCUCAGAGAAGUUUCCAGAUGGCAGAUUAUGGGAUUUUUUUCCGCCUUCAAAAUUGUGAGUUGACUUCCAUUUUAAAAAUUCCUUACCUGUAUCUAUAUUUAUAUCCAUACAUGUAUCUAUCUGUAUCUUACUGGUUCUGUUUAUAUUGUGUAUAUGCAGUAGCUAUCAUAGACUUUUUUUUUAUAUUGCAGAAACUUUUUAUUUAUUUAUUUAUUUAUUUUUAAAGGUUUUUUAAUAUAUAAGAAAAUCAUCUUAAACAUUUCCCCCCAUCUUCCCAUAUGGAUAACUGCAGUAAUUAGAAAGAAUUUGGGGGAGAUUGUAACAUUAUUGCAUGUGAAAUCUUAGUGAAAAAGUUCCCCUUUCCACCAGUCUUGACCUAAAACCAAGGUGACUUUUUUUUUUUGGUAUAAUGAUCAUAGCAAUCUAAUUUCACAGGAUUUCUAUCCCAUAGCCCAAGCAUACCCCCCCACCCCAAAAACUCUCUCCUCUGGAGACCAUAAGUUUUUCAAUGUCUGUGAGUCAGCAUCUGUUCUGCAAAGAAGUUCCGUCUGUCCAUUUUUCAGAUUCCACAUGUCAGUGAAAGCAUUUGUCAUCGGUGUCUCAUUGUAUGGCUGACUUCACUUAGAAUGAUAAUUUCUAGGUCCAUCCAUGUUGCUAAAAAUGCCGUAUUUCACUCCUUUUAAUGGCUGAGUAAUAUUACAUUGUGUAUAUGGACCACAUCUUCUUGAUCCACUCCUCUGUCAAUGGACAUUUAGGUUGUUUCCAUGUUUUGGCUAUUGUAAAUAGUGUUGCAAUGAACACCGGAGUACAUGUGUUUUUGAGAGUCAUGGUUUUCUCUGGAUAGAUGCCCAGGAGUGGGAUUGCUGGAUCAAAUGGGAGUUCUAUGUUUAGUUUUGAGGAAUCUCCAAACUGCUUUCCACAGUGGUUGCACCAAUGUGUAAUCCCACCAACCAUGUACUAGGGUUCCUUUUUCUCCAUAGCCUCUCCAGCACUUCUUGUUUGUAGACUUUUUGAUGCUGGCCAUUCUGGCUGAUGUAAGGUGGUACCUCAGAGUGGUU
ensembl:lncRNA